rnacentral:rRNA from 1 species
UGAGGAAUAUUGCGCAAUGGGGGGCAACCCUGACGCAGCAACGCCGCGUGGGCGAAGAAGGCCUUCGGGUUGUAAAGCCCUUUUCUGGGGGAAGAGCGAGGACGGUACCCCAGGAAUAAGUCCCGGCUAACUACGUGCCAGCAGCCGCGGUAAAACGUAGGGGGCGAGCGUUAUCCGGAUUUACUGGGCGUAAAGCGCGUGCAGGCGGCUUGGUAGGUUGGACGUGAAAGCUCCUGGCUUAACUGGGAGAGGUCGUUCAAGACCGCUGAGCUUGAGGGCGGAAGAGGGGAGUGGAAUUCCCGGUGUAGUGGUGGAAUGCGUAGAUAUCGGGAGGAACACCAGUGGCGAAAGCGACUUCCUGGUCCGUGCCUGACGCUCAAGCGCGAAAGCGUGGGGAGCGAACGGGAUUAGAUACCCGGUAGUCCACGCUGUAAACGAUGGAUGCUAGGUGUGGGUGGUAUUGACCCCAUCCGUGCCGUAGCUAACGCGUUAAGCAUCCCGCCUGGGGACUACGGCCGCAAGGUUAAAACUAC